GGGCCGUUAGCGUAGCUGGUAGCGCGUCUCCAUGGCAUGGAGAAGGUCGGGAGUUCGAAUCUCCCACGGUCCA
rfam:Candidatus Falkowbacteria bacterium RIFCSPLOWO2_12_FTLL_45_10 rifcsplowo2_12_scaffold_1398, whole genome shotgun sequence.